UACGAAGGGGGCUAGCGUUGUUCGGAAUUACUGGGCGUAAAGCGCGCGCAGGCGGUUCGGUAAGUUGGGGGUGAAAUCCCCGGGCUCAACCCGGGAAUGGCCUUCAAGACUGUCGAGCUAGAGGACGAGAGAGGUGAGUGGAAUUCCCAGUGUAGAGGUGAAAUUCGUAGAUAUUGGGAAGAACACCGGUGGCGAAGGCGGCUCACUGGCUCGUUUCUGACGCUGAGGCGCGAAAGCGUGGGGAGCAAACAGG
rnacentral:rRNA from 1 species